AAAAUGUAUGUGGGGGGUCCUGAGUGACCUGUAAAACUUGAUCAGAAGGAAUUGAAUGGUUUUGGCGAAUACUAAGGUGGGGAUGUUUUCUUCCUUUGCCAUUCUAAACCUAUCACUUGUCUUCUCUCCCUCUCUUCCGCUCAAUUAUGAUUCCCCUCUGUCCAGGACUGCUCUCUCUCUCUCUCUCUAAGAAUGAUUAUUGAUGAAUCACAUGCGAUAGAAAGAUCAAGUGUUAUGAUACUUAUAUAGUUAUAUUAUAUAUAAUACUAUAAUUUGUGUGUGGUCUUUUAACAUAUGAUUGAUAUACAGUGUAUGC